rfam:Yokenella regensburgei ATCC 43003 genomic scaffold Scfld129, whole genome shotgun sequence.
GCUUAUUCUCAGGGCGGGGCGAAAUUCCCCACCGGCGGUAAAUCAGCUGAUGCUGAAAGCCCGCGAGCGCUUCAGGCUAACGCCUGAAGGUCAGCAGAUCCGGUGUAAUUCCGGGGCCGACGGUUAAAGUCCGGAUGGGAGAGAGUAACG